UACAGAGGUCUCAAGCGUUGUUCGGAUUCAUUGGGGCGUAAAGGGUGCGUAGGCGGCGCGGUAAGUCGGGUGUGAAAUCUCGGAGCUUAACUCCGAAACUGCAUUCGAUACUGCCGUGCUUGAGGACUGGAGAGGAGACUGGAAUUUACGGUGUAGCGGUGAAAUGCGUAGAUAUCGUAAGGAAGACCAGUGGCGAAGGCGGGUCUCUGGGACGGUACUGACGCUGAGGCGCGAAAGCGUGGGGAGCGAACAGG
rnacentral:rRNA from 1 species